CUACGGGUUGCAGCAGUUAAGGAAAUUUUACAAUGCACGAAAGUGUGAUAAAAUAAACCAGAGUGCUUCUCUUAGAGAAGCUUUUGUCUGUUGUAAAAAGACAGACGAAUAAGGACUGGGCAAGACCGGUGCCAGCCGCCGCGGUAAUACCGGCGGUCCGAGUCGCAUCCACAUUUAUUGGGUCUAAAACAUUCGUAGCUUGUUUUGUAAGUCUCUUGUGAAAUCUCAUGUCUCAAGCAUGAGGCGUGCAAGAGAUACUACAUUACUAGAGACCGGAAGACGUAAGGAGUACAAUUAAGGUAGCGGUAAAAUGUGUUAAUCUUGAUUGGACUAACAAUAGCGAAGGCACCUUACGAGUACGGAUCUGACAGUGAGGGAUGAAGGCUAGGGUCGCGAAAGGGAUUAGAUACCCGAGUAGUC
rnacentral:rRNA from 1 species